rnacentral:misc_RNA from 1 species
GGAAGUAAGAGUCGUAACAAGGUUUCCGUAGGUGAACCUGCGGAAGGAUCAUUAUUGUAUAACCGAGGUGCGAGGGCUGUCGCUGACCCGAAAGGUCGUGCACGCCCGAGUGCCCUCACACACAUCCAUCUCACCCCUAUGUGCACCACCGCGUGGGUCCCCCUUUGGCUUGUUCGGAGGGGGGCUUACGUUUUCACACAAACUUUGUAUGCAGUGUAGAAUGUAUUUUUUGUUUUUGCGAUCACGCAAUCAAUACAACUUUCAACAACGGAUCUCUUGGCUCUC